rnacentral:rRNA from 1 species
UACGUAGGGGGCAAGCGUUAUCCGGAAUGAUUGGGCGUAAAGCGUCUGCAGGUGGCAGUUCAAGUCUGCUGUCAAAGACCGGGGCUUAACUUCGGAAAGGCAGUGGAAACUGAACAGCUAGAGUAUGGUAGGGGCAGAGGGAAUUCCUGGUGUAGCGGUGAAAUGCGUAGAGAUCAGGAAGAACAUCGGUGGCGAAGGCGCUCUGCUGGACCAUAACUGACACUCAGGGACGAAAGCUAGGGGAGCGAAUGGG